UGAUGCCUUUCGUUUGUGGUUGGAUUUUUCGGAUGGAUGGCCGACACGGGCAGGCCUAGCCUGCAACAAAGCCAGUGAGAAGGGAGGGGGAGGUGUCGUGUGAUGCGAGAGAGAAGAGAGACAGGAGGUGUCAUCCGAUGGCAGAGAGAAGAGGAGGGGUCGCGCAAUGCCAGAGAGAAGAGAAGAGAUAGGAUGACUCCUGGAAGGAAAAAUUGGAGGAGAAAGGGAGGGGUCAUUUUUCAUUCAAUCCCGAAGUUCGUAUUUCUCGGAUUGGUGUUGUGUACAGAUUACUGGUGGUCAGCUUGCUAAAGCAUUGUAUUUAGGUGAAGAAAGAUAGGUGCUUGGAUGGGAGUGGACGCAGGAGCAGGGAGUGUUGUGAGGAAGGGUAAGUAGUUGCAUCAUCUGCUGUGUUACAGUAGUGAAGUGAUGAGACGUCGGUAUGGCAUCUGCUAGCCUAGGGAAUGCUGGAGUUGGCAGUUCAAGGUCUGUUAGACAAUAGAUAUGGCAUAAGUGAUAAGCCAUUUUCCCUCUCUGCAAGUGUUAACCUCACAAUCAAAGGGGUUCACCAGCGUGGGUUCCGUCGGAUUCCAUAGACAAGGAUGUGGUGACCCGGAAAUCAUGCUUCUUCGGAUUUGAGAAAU